rnacentral:rRNA from 1 species
AGUGAACGCUGGCGGUAGGCCUAACACAUGCAAGUCGAACGGCAGCACAGUAAGAGCUUGCUCUUACGGGUGGCGAGUGGCGGACGGGUGAGGAAUACAUCGGAAUCUACUUUUUAGUGGGGGUUAACGUAGGGAAACUUACGCUAAUACCGCAUACGACCUACGGGUGAAAGUAGGGGAUCUUCGGACCUCGCGCGAUUGAAUGAGCCGAUGUCGGAUUAGCUAGUUGGCGGGGUGAAGGCCCACCAAGGCGACGAUCCGUAGCUGGUCUGAGAGGAUGAUCAGCCACACUGGAACUGAGACACGGUCCAGACUCCUACGGGAGGCAGCAGUGGGGAAUAUUGGACAAAGGGCGCAAGCCUGAUCCAGCCAUACCGCGUGGGUGAAGAAGGCCUUCGGGUUGUAAAGCCCUUUUGUGGGGAAGGAAAAGCAGCAGGUUAAUACCCCGCUGUUCUGACGGUACCCAAAGGAUAAGCACCGGCUAACUUCGUG